CACUCCUACGGGAGGCAGCAGUGGGGAAUAUUGGACAAUGGGCGCAAGCCUGAUCCAGCCAUGCCGCGUGAGUGAUGAAGGCCCUAGGGUUGUAAAGCUCUUUCACCGGAGAAGAUAAUGACGGUAUCCGGAGAAGAAGCCCCGGCUAACUUCGUGCCAGCAGCCGCGGUAAUACGAAGGGGGCUAGCGUUGUUCGGAAUUACUGGGCGUAAAGCGCACGUAGGCGGAUCGAUCAGUCAGGGGUGAAAUCCCAGGGCUCAACCCUGGAACUGCCUUUGAUACUGUCGAUCUGGAGUAUGGAAGAGGUGAGUGGAAUUCCGAGUGUAGAGGUGAAAUUCGUAGAUAUUCGGAGGAACACCAGUGGCGAAGGCGGCUCACUGGUCCAUUACUGACGCUGAGGUGCGAAAGCGUGGGGAGCAAACAGGAUUAGAUACCCUUGUAGUCC
rnacentral:rRNA from 1 species